rnacentral:rRNA from 1 species
CAACUUGAGAGUUUGAUUCUGGCUCAGGACGAACGCUGGCGGCAGGCCUAACACAUGCAAGUCGAACGUGAAGCUGGAGCUUGCUCCAGUGGAAAGUGGCAGACGGGUGAGUAACGCGUGGGAAUCUACCCAAGGGUACGGAAUAACCAAAGGAAACUCUGGCUAAUACCGGAUACGCCUCCCUUUAGAGAUAUUGGGGGGGAAAGAUUUAUCGCCCCUGGAUGAGCCCGCGUCGGAUUAGCUUGUUGGUGAGGUAAAAGCUCACCAAGGCGACGAUCCGUAGCUGGUCUGAGAGGAUGAUCAGCCACACUGGGACUGAGACACGGCCCAGACUCCUACGGGAGGCAGCAGUGGGGAAUCUUGCACAAUGGGCGAAAGCCUGAUGCAGCCAUGCCGCGUGAGUGAAGAAGGCCCUAGGGUUGUAAAGCUCUUUCACCGGUGAAGAUAAUGACGGUAGC